GUUCCUGGUGACUAAACUUCAGGUCCCCAUGUGGCCCCCCAGCACAUUGAAAACAACAACAAUAACAACAACAACAAUAACAACAACAAUAACAAUAACAACACUCUGUUUGAGUCACACUUGGGGAAAACCAUUCUGCACAUGGAUCUAGUGCUUUUCCAAGGCCAGCCAUUACAAAUGAGGAUAUAAGAUGACAUGAGCGUAAGAACAUUUUCACGUCGGUCCCUCACUGUCACCCCAUGCCUGGCAGAAGGUAUCGAGUCAAACAAAACCCACC
rnacentral:lncRNA from 1 species